GUCAGGCCUGAGGCACGGCAGGCGCUGGGCGUUCGCCUCUGGUGCCGCAGAGCGGUGCCACUGGGGCUCGGCUUUCGUCGGGACCCCAGAUUUACGACGUGGGGCUUACCUCUGAGCCCUGGGUUUACGUCAGGACCCGAGUUUACGGCUGAGCCUGCUUUACAACGUGGGGCGUUAGACAAGGGCUUUAGUCAGGUGACGGUGUCCGGCCCCAUACCACGCCCUGAGUUCCCACAAGACCGUGCCCAUCGGAGGGCCAAGGGGCGAGCUCUGCAGAGGCAGAGGCGACCCUCUGGGGCCCCAGCAGCUUCCCGGUCUCUACCAGGUAAAUGGAACUUGAGCUGAAGAGGAAAGCAAGAUCCAUACUGACACUCCAGGAUCUUACUAGCUCCCUAAGAAAGGUUA
ensembl:lncRNA